rnacentral:rRNA from 1 species
CCCUACGGGGCGCAGCAGGCGCGAAAACUUUACAAUGCGGGAAACCGUGAUAAGGGGACACCGAGUGCCAGCAUCAUAUGCUGGCUGUCCAGAUGUGUAAAAUACAUCUGUUAGCAAGGGCCGGGCAAGACCGGUGCCAGCCGCCGCGGUAACACCGGCGGCCCGAGUGGUGAUCGUGAUUAUUGGGUCUAAAGGGUCCGUAGCCGGUUUGGUCAGUCCUCCGGGAAAUCUGAUGGCUCAACCAUUAGGCUUUCGGGGGAUACUGCCAGGCUUGGAACCGGGAGAGGUAAGAGGUACUACAGGGGUAGGAGUGAAAUCUUGUAAUCCCUGUGAGACCACCUGUGGCGAAGGCGUCUUACCAGAACGGGUUCGACGGUGAGGGACGAAAGCUGGGGGCACGAACCGGAUUAGAUACCCGGGUAGUCCCAGCCGUAAACGAUGCUCGCUAGGUGUCAGGCAUGGCGCGACCGUGUCUGGUGCCGCAGGGAAGCCGUGAAGCGAGCCACCUGGGAAGUACGGCCGCAAGGCUGAAACUUAAAGGAAUUGGCGGGGGAGCACAACAACGGGUGGAGCCUGCGGUUUAAUUGGACUCAACGCCGGACAACUCACCGGGGACGACAGCAAUAUGUAGGCCA